rnacentral:rRNA from 1 species
AGCAGCCGCGGUAAUUCCAGCUCCAAUAGCGUAUAUUAAAGUUGUUGCAGUUAAAAAGCUCGUAGUUGAAUUUUGGAUCUGACCAAACGGUCCGCUUUUGGCGAGUACUGUUUUGUGUCGGGUCUAUCCUUCUGGUGAGCUGGUAUGCCCUUUAUUGGGUGUGUCAGGGAACCAGGACCAUUACCUUGAAAAAUUAGAGUGUUUAAAGCGGGCAUAAGCUUGAAUAGAUUAGCAUGGAAUAAUAGAAUAGGACGUUGUGGUUCUAUUUUGUUGGUUUCUAGGACCACCGUAAUGAUUAAUAGGGAUAGUUGGGGGCAUUAGUAUUCAAUUGUCAGAGGUGAAAUUCUUGGAUUUAUUGAAGACUAACUAUUGCGAAAGCAUUUUUG